AGAGUUUGAUCCUGGCUCAGAGUGAACGCUGGCGGCAUGCCUAACACAUGCAAGUCGAACGGUAACAGGCCCGCAAGGGUGCUGACGAGUGGCGGACGGGUGAGGAAUACAUCGGAAUCUGCCCGGUUGUGGGGGAUAACGUAGGGAAACUUACGCUAAUACCGCAUACGACCGAAAGGUGAAAGCGUGGGAUCCGCAAGGACCUCGCGCAGCCGGAUGAGCCGAUGUCGGAUUAGCUAGUUGGCGGGGUAAAGGCCCACCAAGGCGACGAUCCGUAGCUGGUCUGAGAGGAUGAUCAGCCACACUGGGACUGAGACACGGCCCAGACUCCUACGGGAGGCAGCAGUGGGGAAUAUUGGACAAUGGGGGCAACCCUGAUCCAGCAAUGCCGCGUGUGUGAAGAAGGCCUUCGGGUUGUAAAGCACUUUUAUCCGGAACGAAACGCGCUUGGUCAAUAGCCAGGUGAACUGACGGUACCGGAGGAAUAAGCACCGGCUAACUUCGUGCCAGCAGCCGCGGUAAUACGAAGGGUGCAAGCGUUACUCGGAAUUACUGGGCGUAAAGCGUGCGUAGGUGGUUUGUUAAGUCUGUUGUGAAAGCCCCGGGCUCAACCUGGGAAUGGCAAUGGAUACUGGCAAGCUAGAGUGCGGUAGAGGGUAGUGGAAUUCCCGGUGUAGCGGUGAAAUGCGUAGAGAUCGGGAGGAACACCAGUGGCGAAGGCGGCUACCUGGACCAGCACUGACACUGAGGCACGAAAGCGUGGGGAGCAAACAGGAUUAGAUACCCCCGUAGUCC
rnacentral:rRNA from 1 species